rnacentral:lncRNA from 1 species
ACAUCUCAAUGAGCAUCGUCUCUAGAUCAUAAUAGAUCAUGUUACAUUUGUAUAUGCUCAGGAACAUAAUUUACUAUUAAACAGGGCCAAGAUCAGCUCCGAAGAAAUUAUUCUUCCGCAGAAGCGGACUCUUCGACUGCAUUAUAUGCACGGUUCUCAUGCUGCUUUGCAAAGAGAAUGUAUAACAGGAUUUGUACAGGGCUGCAAAUGCUGAAGAUGACAGUUAAGGAAGAUGAAAACUCCAUAAAAGGAGAUCCUGGUAAGGAACAUGGAACUAACAAUCCAACACCAACUGGAAGAAUUGGUAAUGGUCAAAAGGAAAUGCCAUAUGUCCUACCAAUCUCCCAGAAAUCUCCUUGCUGGAAUCCAUCUUGGCUGAGCAAAGUGUGUACCAUCAAGAAGGACCUUGAGCCAGAAUGAUUGGCCAGAGGCAACCUGGAAACUAAUCCCAUCACCAUAAAGCCUGAGACUGAGCAGCCCUCCUGGGAUCCCUCAUCCUCCUGCUCUCCGCCCUUCUCAAUAAAGUCGCUUGCUUCAUCAGCAUCUGUGUCUCCUUGGACAAUUCAUUUCCGAGUGUUAGACAAGAGCCCACUCUUGGGGGCAGGAAGGAGUCCUCUGUCCUGCAAAAUGAGGACCUUCCAAGAAGUACAAAGUUUUAGUUGUGACGUAAUAAACUGGAUUAAAAUUUUCUUACAUUUUUGGAGAAGAUGCCUGAUUGUUUCAAUUAGGAUCGACUGAAGUAAAGAACAAAGCAGCAAAGUGUGUGUGUGUGCACGCACGCACACAUGCACCAUCACAC